AUGUUCAUUUGUGUUCUACACAAUUCUAGAAGAAUCAUGAAUACAAUGAUGAUUCUAGAGUUGUGGAGAACAUACUAUAUCG
rnacentral:miRNA from 1 species